AUUGAACGCUGGCGGCAUGCCUUACACAUGCAAGUCGAACGGUAACAGGUUAAGCUGACAAGUGGCGAACGGGUGAGUAACGUAUCGGAACGUGCCCAGUCGUGGGGGAUAACUGCUCGAAAGAGCAGCUAAUACCGCAUACGACCUGAGGGUGAAAGCGGGGGACCGUAAGGCCUCGCGCGAUUGGAGCGGCCGAUAUCAGAUUAGCUAGUUGGUGAGGUAAAGGCUCACCAAGGCGACGAUCUGUAGCUGGUCUGAGAGGACGACCAGCCACACUGGGACUGAGACACGGCCCAGACUCCUACGGGAGGCAGCAGUGGGGAAUUUUGGACAAUGGACGCAAGUCUGAUCCAGCCAUGCCGCGUGCGGGAAGAAGGCCUUCGGGUUGUAAACCGCUUUUGUCAGGGAAGAAACGGGUUUUUCUAAUACAGAGACCUAAUGACGGUACCUGAAGAAUAAGCACCGGCUAACUACGUGCCAGCCGCCGCCGUAAGAC
rnacentral:rRNA from 1 species